rnacentral:rRNA from 1 species
UACGGAGGGUGCAAGCGCUAUCCGGAUUCACUGGGUUUAAAGGGUGCGUAGGAGGGCAGGUAAGUCAGUGGUGAAAUCUCCAAGCUUAACUUGGAAACUGCCGUUGAUACUAUCUGUCUUGAAUACCGUGGAGGUGAGCGGAAUAUGUCAUGUAGCGGUGAAAUGCUUAGAUAUGACAUAGAACACCAAUUGCGAAGGCAGCUCGCUACACGAAUAUUGACUCUGAGGCACGAAAGCGUGGGGAUCAAACAGG